rnacentral:rRNA from 1 species
AUUGAACGCUGGCGGCAUGCUUUACACAUGCAAGUCGAACGGCAGCGGGGGCUUCGGCCUGCCGGCGAGUGGCGAACGGGUGAGUAAUGCAUCGGAACGUGCCCAUGUCGUGGGGGAUAACGUAUCGAAAGGUACGCUAAUACCGCAUACGUCCUGAGGGAGAAAGCGGGGGAUCUUCGGGCCUCGCGCGAUUGGAGCGGCCGAUGUCGGAUUAGCUAGUAGGUGAGGUAAAGGCUCACCUAGGCGACGAUCCGUAGCGGGUCUGAGAGGAUGAUCCGCCACCAUGGGACUGAGACACGGCCCAGACUCCUACGGGAGGCAGCAGUGGGGAAUUUUGGACAAUGGGCGCAAGCCUGAUCCAGCCAUGCCGCGUGAGUGAAGAAGGCCUUCGGGUUGUAAAGCUCUUUCGGCCGGGAAGAAAUCGUGUUCUCUAACAUAGGACAUGGAUGACGGUACCGGACUAAGAAGCACCGGCUAACUACGUGACAGCCGCCGCCGUAACAC